CCUACGGGGGGCAGCAGUGAGGAAUAUUGGUCAAUGGCCGGAAGGCUGAACCAGCCAUGCCGCGUGAAGGUCAGUGCCCUAUGGGCGUUAAACUUCUUUUGUGCGGGAGCAAUAAUGGUCACGUGUGGCCAGACGAGAGUUCCGUACGAAUAAGCAUCGGCUAACUCCGUGCCAGCAGCCGCGGUCAUACGGGGGAUGCAAGCGUUAUCCGGAUUUAUUGGGUUUAAAGGGUGCGUAGGCUGUGAGGUAAGUCAGCGGUGAAAUGCCCCCGCUCAACGGGGUGAAGUGCCAUUGAUACUGGCUGGCUGGAGUGUGGAUGCCGUGGGAGGAAUGUGUGGUGUAGCGGUGAAAUGCAUAGAUAUCACACAGAACACCGAUUGCGAAGGCAUCUCACGAAUCCGCGAUUGACGCUGAUGCACGAAAGCGUGGGUAUCAAACAGGAUUAGAUACCCUUGUAGUC
rnacentral:rRNA from 1 species